rnacentral:misc_RNA from 1 species
UACGGAGGAUCCAAGCGUUAUCCGGAAUCAUUGGGUUUAAAGGGUCCGUAGGUGGAUAAUUAAGUCAGAGGUGAAAUCCUGCAGCUCAACUGUAGAAUUGCCUUUGAUACUGGUUAUCUUGAGUUAUUAUGAAGUAGUUAGAAUAUGUAGUGUAGCGGUGAAAUGCAUAGAUAUUACAUAGAAUACCAAUUGCGAAGGCAGAUUACUAAUAAUGGACUGACACUGAUGGACGAAAGCGUGGGGAGCGAACAGG